CCCUUCAGAGGGGGACAACAGUUGGAAACGACUGCUAAUACCGCAUACGAUCUAAUCUCGGCAUCGAGGAUGGAUGAAAGGUGGCCUCUACAUGUAAGCUAUCACUGAAGGAGGGGAUUGCGUCUGAUUAGCUAGUUGGAGGGGUAACGGCCCACCAAGGCGAUGAUCAGUAGCCGGUCUGAGAGGAUGAACGGCCACCUUGGGACUGAGACACGGCCCAG
rnacentral:rRNA from 1 species